UGUUUCAGCUUAGUUCUGUUGAAGAAGGAGGGGCCACUGUUUUUCCCAAGCUUCGAGUCAGAGUACCAGUGACAAAGGGGUCUGCAUUGUUCUGGUUCAACAUGGACUCGUUUGGGAAUGUCGACGACAGGCUACUUCAUGCUGAUUGCCCAGUCAUUAUCGGUUCAAAAUGGAGUGCAAAGAAGUGGAUCAGUUAUGACGAAAACAUGUUUUCCAACCCAAGAAAUGCAUGAAUGAUAUUGUACAAUAUAUUACUUCAAUCUAUGGCUCGUUUCCUGGACCUUUUCUAAAUCUGGAGUCAUUUUUCAACGCCGAAAACAAUUGACAAAUAGACCAAUUUUAAAUGAUGAUGUACAAAAAAAUGUACAUGCAAAUAUCCUGUAGUGCAAUAUAUAUCAAGGACAAUAACCCAAUACAGGUACUUAACUGCUGUUAUUGUAUUUCUCAUCACAGACUUUCAUCUUAACAUCAAAGCCCUUGUUUGCGUUCUGUGACUAUGACCUAUAAUGGUAUCGUUUGUGCUCUGUGGCUAUAGCUAUGACCUAUAUGGUAUCGUUUGUGCUCUGUGGCUAUAGCUAUGACCUAUAGUGGUAUCGUUUGUGCUCUGUGGCUAUAUCUAUGACCUAUAAUGGUAUCGUUUGUGCUCUGUUGCUAUAGCUAUGACCAAUAAUGGUAUCGUUUGUGCUCUGUGGCUAUAGCAAUGACCUAUAAUGGGAUUGAUUGUGCUCUGUGGCUAUAGCUAUGACCUAUAAUGGUAUCGUUUGCGCUCUGUGGCUAUAGCUAUGACCUAUAAUGGUAUCGUUUGCGCUCUGUGGCUAUAGCUAUG